AAACGGGUGGCGUCAAGCUGCAAGCCGGGAGAAUUCAGCCGAUUAGGGUGUAUAUGCGCCUGGCGCAUUGAACAGUCGGAGUGAGGUUGGGUAGUCCGCUGGAAGACAGUGGGUCUCGCCGCAAGGUGGGAUGUGUGUACCGGGUGUUAGCCGGAGCACGCUAUCCGUCUGCUGGACUGCCUAGUCGGUGCACUUUCUCCCAUUGGCUAACACCACGACCGGUGGUACAGCCAGUCUGCUAUGGUCAAGUCGUAGUUGGUGGGCACUUGUGUCUACUGGCUGCGGCGUUCACGGGCAAUUCGGUAGACGGCGUUGGCAUUCGCUUCGGCUGUGUCAGCGUGUUAUCGGCUAUUGGUUGUCUAAACGGGCUGCCUGGCGACGUUGAAGCCGUCGUGUUGGGUGGUUCGGUGGGCCAUGGUGGUAGGAAUAACUGUGCUGGGCACCGGAGUGUUCGGCCUCAAAUGCAGUCGGCAUGCACGCUUCAAGUGUGCGAUGUGGGUAGCGCUUUGGCCUGCCUGUUGUUGAGCCUGAUCGUCGUGUUGCCUGCGCAAAGUGGGCCCGGCGGUGGCUUGAUGCGGGAUGGUGCUGGAGACGCGGCUUGCAGUGCUGGCUGUGGUGGGCCUGAUAGUCAGUGGUGUAGUGGUAGACGAGCUACCCGACCCGUCUUGAAACACGGACCAAGGAGUUUAACAUGUGUGCAAGUCAAUGGGUGCUACGAAACCCAAAGGCGCAGUGAAAGUGAAGCCCUGACUGGUUUGGGGUGAGGUGAGAUCCUGCUGUUACUCGCAUCAUGCCAACACUAGGCAUCAAGAGCGGUAGGCGCAUCACCGGCCCGUCCCAUGAUGUGGCCAUUGGAAUAGGGCUGCGGUUGGCUCUCGGGUUGGCCGUAGUACCUCCAGUGCGUCAUCGGGGCGGAGCAUGAGCACACACGUUGAGACCCGAAAGAUGGUGAACUAUGCUUGCGUAGG
rnacentral:rRNA from 1 species